rnacentral:rRNA from 1 species
CGGCACGGGUGCGUAACGCGUGGGAAUCUGCCCCUUGGUUCGGAAUAACAGUUAGAAAUGACUGCUAAUACCGGAUGAUGUCUUCGGACCAAAGAUUUAUCGCCAAGGGAUGAGCCCGCGUAGGAUUAGCUAGUUGGUGAGGUAAAAGCUCACCAAGGCGACGAUCCUUAGCUGGUCUGAGAGGAUGAUCAGCCACACUGGGACUGAGACACGGCCCAG